UCCUCAUAAGUUUUGUUUCUCGAUGUUGACAUUACAGAAAACACUUAUAAGUUGGGCAUGUGGUUGCACAUGUUCAUAGGCCCUAAUGGAUUCCCCUCUUUUGUAUUUACACAAGGAUGAGAAUUGACAAGUUUAGCAAAUGACCAUUUUAUCCUUACAGUUAUUAGUAGUUUCUACUGGAAGGAAGAGUGGGGGGCAACCUCAAGCUGUCUAUAAAAUGGCUGCAGCUUCAUUUCAAACAUAUAUUUCAUAACUCUCUCUCUCUUAUUUGAUUCUACAAUGGCAAUGAAGAAGAUAUCAUUAGGCACUUUCAUGCUGUGUUUUGCUGCUUUGAUGGUUUUCUUCCUGGCUGAAAAUCUGCAGGCAAGUGAUUUAGUCGCAGCAGCAGCACCUGCAGGGGACAACCAACUGGUAAUUGACUAAAUCUUAAUUCUUGUUUAUUAUAGAAAUUGUCUGUCUUCUUUUGAUCUCUUGAAAUAGUAUUAGUUAUUUUUGUAGCAUGGUGCAUCGGAAGGUAGCUUACGACCAGAAGAGUGUGGGGGACGAUGUUUGGGAAGGUGUUCGAAAACAGCAUACAAAAAACCGUGUUUGUUCUUCUGUAACAAGUGCUGUGCCAAGUGCCUUUGUGUGCCUCCGGGGACUUAUGGAAACAAGCAACUUUGUCCUUGUUAUAAUAACUGGAAGAC